rnacentral:rRNA from 1 species
CCUCUCGGGGGUAAGCGGGCAGAACUUGCAAGUAUUGGCAAGAGAUUCAGACUUGAGUUUAGUAGUUGAGUACUUUUGUUAAGUUGUUCAUUCGUGAACUGACUGAUGUAUGUACUUUAUUCUAUUAAAAAUGUGUCGCACUUCUCUUUGUCAUCCGGGUUGCAUGCAACUGAUUUUUGGUAGUUUAGGUUUUGAGAAUCUGUGCGUCUUUCAUUCGUGAUUGAUUCAAGUCUUAAAUUUCCAACUACUAAUGCGGUUGUAAGAAAAUAGCGAACAAGCGUUUGACGCGGUCAAUUAUUUUUACGAGUCGUGUACGUAAUUUAUAUGGACGAGUAAUCGUAGUAUAUUUUAUGUACUGGUUGUCAGUAAAAGUUAUUUUGGCAUUGUUCAGUAUUGCAAUCUAAAGCAUGCGUGGUCUGCCUGU